UGAGGUCAUGGGCCUUUUAAACCAGUCUGU
rnacentral:piRNA from 1 species